rnacentral:rRNA from 1 species
GACGAACGCUGGCGGCGUGCUUAACACAUGCAAGUCGAACGGAAAGACACUGCUUUUGUGGGGUGCUCGAGUGGCGAACGGGUGAGUAACACGUGAGUAACCUGCUCUUGACUUUGGGAUAACUUCAGGAAACUGGGGCUAAUACCAGAUCGGAUCCCCUGCUGCAGGGAGGGGGUUGGAAAGUUUCGGCGGGCGGGGAUGGACUCGCGGCUUAUCAGCUUGUUGGUGGGGGAGUGGCUUACCAAGGCUUUGACGGGUAGCCGGCCUGAGAGGGUGAACGGCGACAUUGGGACUGAGAGACGGCGCAGACUGCUACGGGGGACAGCAGUCGCGAAUCUUGCACAAUGGGCGGAAGUGUGAUGCAGAAGCGCCGCGGGCGUGAUGACGGCCUGCGGGGUGUAAAACGCUUUCGCCUGUGACGAAGCGUGAGUGACGGUAAUGGGUAAAGAAGCACCGGCUAACUACGUG